rnacentral:rRNA from 1 species
CAGAGGGGGCAAGCGUUGUUCGGAAUUACUGGGCGUAAAGGGCGCGUAGGCGGCCUGCUAAGUCGAACGUGAAAUCCCUGGGCUCAACCCAGGAACUGCGUCCGAUACUGGUUGGCUUGAAUCCGGGAGAGGGAUGCGGAAUUCCAGGUGUAGCGGUGAAAUGCGUAGAUAUCUGGAGGAACACCGGUGGCGAAGGCGGCAUCCUGGACCGGCAUUGACGCUGAGGCGCGAAAGCCAGGGGAGCAAACGGGAUUAGAUACCCCGGUAGUCCUGGCCCUAAACGAUGAAUGCUUGGUGUGGUGGGUAUCGAUCCCUACCGUGCCGAAGCUAACGCAUUAAGCAUUCCGCCUGGGGACUACGGUCGCAAGGCUG